CAGUAGCCGCGGGAAUACGUAGGGUGCGAGCGUUAAUCGGAAUUACUGGGCGUAAAGCGUGCGCAGGCGGUUGUGUAAGACAGGUGUGAAAUCCCCGGGCUUAACCUGGGAACUGCGCUUGUGACUGCACAGCCAGAGUAUGGCAGAGGGGGGUGGAAUUCCACGUGUAGCAGUGAAAUGCGUAGAGAUGUGGAGGAACACCGAUGGCGAAGGCAGCCCCCUGGGCCAAUACUGACGCUCAUGCACGAAAGCGUGGGGAGCAAACAGGAUUAGAUACCCCGCGUAGUCCCUGUCUCUUAUU
rnacentral:rRNA from 1 species